rfam:Glycine soja cultivar W05 scaffold175_18, whole genome shotgun sequence.
UUUAGGGACUCCUGUCGUAGGAGAGAUGACGCCUUCUGUUAGGUAAUUAAUAUGUUGCAAAGCCAACUUGAAUUAGCAGUAGCUGUCAUCUUUCCUCGGCUGAAGCCCCUUCACAG